CCUACGGGAGGCUGCAGUGGGGAAUAUUGCACAAUGGGGGGAACCCUGAUGCAGCGACGCCGCGUGCGGGAUGGAGGCCUUCGGGUUGUGAACCGCUUUUAUUGGGGAGCAAGCUGGCCCUGUGUGGGUUGGUGAGUGUACUUGGUGAAUAAGCACCGGCUAACUACGUGCCAGCAGCCGCGGUAAUACGUAGGGUGCAAGCGUUGUCCGGAGUUAUUGGGCGUAAAGGGCUCGUAGGCGGUUCGUCGCGUCUGGUGUGAUAGCUUACUGCUUAACGGUGGGUUGGCGUUGGAUACGGGCGGGCUUGAGUGCAGUAGGGGAGACUGGAAUUCUCGGUGUAACGGUGGAAUGUGUAGAUAUCGGGAAGAAAACCUAUGGCGAAGGCAGGUCUCUGGGCUGUUACUGACGCUGAGGAGCGAAAGCGUGGGGAGCGAACAGGAUUAGAUACCCCGGUAGUC
rnacentral:rRNA from 1 species